CAACUUCUCUUGAUUACCCUUAAUUUGUGGAUCUGGUCGGGUUACUGUGUGCUGAAUUAUUGGUGUAUUUGUUUAAAACUAGAGUGGAAGGCUACUUCAUCUUCAAUAGAAACUCCUUCUCUUCAUUCUCUUUCUUCAAGCCAGACUUAUUGUUGAGAGUUUUGACGACUGAAAGCAACCUUCUCCGGCAACUCUUCGGCUAGUGUAGAGAUCCGUAGCGAGCUGUAGUUCGCGGGACUUGGUAAACCCAACUCUGUAGUUCGGAGCCAGUACAUCUCCAAUUCUGGCUCACCCAGCUAGGAGGAGCAAGUCCUAGCCAUGUGCACAUAUUUUUCUGUAGUAGUGCUACCGAACAUGCGUGUCCAUUCCUACUGCGGUCGAAAAUCCAGCUCCGGCUGUUGAUAUUCUGUUCUGUUCUGACUUCACAGUCGAUGAUCCAGCUUCGCGCUAUUGAUUUCUGUUAUCAGUCAGGGAGAUGUACAUGUCUGUUUUCUGCGUGUUUUCUGUAUUUUCUGAUUAUUUCUGUAUUCUGUCUGAAUUAUUAAUUAUUCUGCUAUAUCUGUAUUAUUCUGUUAUUUUCUGCGAUCCUACUGGGCCCUUGUGGCUCAUGUACUCUGUGAAUUUUCCUUUCACAGGAGAAGAUCAAGCUUAGGAUUAGGGGGUUGUUCUAGGGUCUGUAGUUGUGGUCUUGUUAGCACCUGUUCUUUGAGGUUGUGAACCUUGUGUGCUAUUUUAUUCUGUACGAGUGAGACUUAUAUCAUGUUUGUGUAUUUUGACAUGUAAACUACUUGUGUACUCUGUAGGACUGUCAUAGUCCAUAUCUGUAUUAUCCCUGUUUAUGUGACUUUAUCUGUAGUAAAAUAUUAUUGUUUCUAU